rnacentral:rRNA from 1 species
CCUACGGGGGGCAGCAGUGAGGAAUAUUGGUCAAUGGGCGCAAGCCUGAACCAGCCAUCCCGCGUGCAGGAAGACGGCCCUAUGGGUUGUAAACUGCUUUUCCAGGGGACGAAUAGUUUCUACGUGUAGAGACCUGACGGUACCUUGGGAAUAAGCAUCGGCUAACUCCGUGCCAGCAGCCGCGGUAAUACGGAGGAUGCAAGCGUCAUUCGGAUUCAUUGGGUUUAAGGGGGAUGUAUACGGCAUCGGAGAAAUCCUACAGCUUAACUGUAGAACUGCCAUUGAUACUGUUAGUCUUGAGUUUGGUUAAGGUAGGCGGAAUGUGUAAUGUAGCGGUGAAAUGCUUAGAUAUUACACAGAACACCAAUUGCGAAGGCAGCUUACUGGACCGACACUGACGCUGAGGCACGAAAGCGUGGGGAUCGAACAGGAUUAGAUACCCUGGUAGUC